UCAUAUUUUUGUUCAUUGUAGGUUAAUUUCAGAGGUAAACCGGCUUUGGCAGUCAGAACAGCAAAAUACUCCAUCUAAACGGGAAUUGAUUCUCAAUUGCGAUACGGUUCUAGGAACAUAAUGCACAUACACCGUUUUAACCGGCUUCACAGUUGCUGCCGAGAGUAUUUUUCGGCUACAACACGUUUCUGGCGGCAUUCUUCCAUUACACACUAAUUGUGUUAGAUUGCUAAAUAGCACAGGUGGUCGCCUCAGUCUUCCGUCAACACGCGAAGUAACAUGGAGAUAUGGCCGUGUGGGGAGACGAAUAUAAAAGGUACAAUUUCACUAUCGUGAGAAUGGCCGGGACAGGUGUGAACAGCAGUUAUCCUGGGAGUGCACCAGCGGCUACUGUAAUGGCAGUGCCAACCGACAAGGACCUGUCGUGCAAACCACCGACAAGGACCAGUCCGGCCAAAACCUCUGGUGCCAGUCAGAGGGACACUUCACUAGAAACUUCACUAGGGACCAGAAAAGCCAAUCCUACACCCUGAGUGACUCCGGUUGCUGUUGGGGCUCCAAUGUCAAUGGAAAGACCAACUGGACAAUACACACCGAGGUGGAUUUGGGGUUACGGGUCAGCCCGGGGCCUCCAACCCAAAACACACCUCCUGUCACGGCAACUGUCCCAACCCUGCGAGUUCCUCAGAACUGCUUCUCCACUCUUCCUCUCUUAACCUAUGACCCGGAUGGAGAUGACGUGAGGUGCCACUUCCCUGUGAACGUCACACACCCCAACAUUACACUUGACAGGGUAAUAAAAUAAACAAUGUCCCUCCCUGCAGAUUAAUGUAGAUGCAAUCGAGCCCGUUUAUUAACGGUUUAGUGCAUGGGGUAUUAUUAAGUUAGCUAAAAUCAGAUUGGUUGAAGAAUUGUUUCCGACUUCAAAGGC